rnacentral:rRNA from 1 species
GACGAACGCUGGCGGCGUGCCUAAUACAUGCAAGUAGAACGCUGAAGGAGGAGCUUGCUCUUCUGGAUGAGUUGCGAACGGGUGAGUAACGCGUAGGUAACCUGCCUGGUAGCGGGGGAUAACUAUUGGAAACGAUAGCUAAUACCGCAUAAGAGUAGAUGUUGCAUGACAUUUGCUUAAAAGGUGCAAUUGCACCACUACCAGAUGGACCUGCGUUGUAUUAGCUAGUUGGUGGGGUAACGGCUCACCAAGGCGACGAUACAUAGCCGACCUGAGAGGGUGAUCGGCCACACUGGGACUGAGACACGGCCCAGACUCCUACGGGAGGCAGCAGUAGGGAAUCUUCGGCAAUGGACGGAAGUCUGACCGAGCAACGCCGCGUGAGUGAAGAAGGUUUUCGGAUCGUAAAGCUCUGUUGUAAGAGAAGAACGAGUGUGAGAGUGGAAAGUUCACACUGUGACGUAUCUACCA